CUCAGUAAUCCGUUAAUCUGUUGAUCACAAAUGAAUCAAUCCAUUCAUAAGGACAGAGCCCUUAUGACCUAAUCACCUCUUAAAGGUCCCAGCUAGUCCCACACCUUAACACUUCACAAUAGAGAUUCAACAUGAGUUGUGCGGGGGAUAUGCAGAUCGUGACAGUGCCCUUAUAAAACAGGCCCCAGAAAACGACCUUGCCCCUUCCACCACAAAAGUGCCAUCUAUGGACAAAUAUGUAGGCAAUCACCAGACACCAAAUAUGCUCAAACCUUGAUCUUGGACUUUCCAGCUUCCAGACAAUGAGAGAUAUAUUUCAGCUAUUUAUAAGGAUUUUGUUAGAGUCUGAACAGACUAAGAUAGGUGCCCAGGAGAAGCAACAAUGAGACCAUGUUGGUGGAGCACAGUCCCUCUUCGAAUAGUCACAGCCAAAUAAAGAAACAACUUCUUCUGAGCAAGAGCGAGUAGACACAGCCAUCAAGAGCAUGCCCUUCCGCAUGCUUCAGACGGAAGAUUGCUGUGGUUCGGAUGUGAUUUGUCCCUUGAAGGUUCAUGUGCUGGAAGCUGGUCCUCAAGAGGGCAACAUAGACUGCGGGACCUCCGUCACAGCACCGCCCCCCCGCCCCGACGCAGCACCAUUGUCAGCCACGCGGUGGCGCCAAGACACAGACUGUCAGGUUUUCCGCAGACUUUGGGGAGCAGAGAUGACAGGAGAGAUGCGGCUAGUCUCCCGCUGCCUCCCGAUUCUUGCCUAUUUUGGAAGAGAGCCGCAGCCCUUCUGCUGAUGCGUUCCCGCUGUCGCCUUUUUAAGGCAACUGGCGGAGUGGCGGCUCCUCCAGAGC
rnacentral:lncRNA from 1 species